rnacentral:lncRNA from 1 species
GUCAAAUAUUAUUUUAGAUGUUGCUGUGAAUGUAUCUGAAAAGAUAUGAUUAACAUUUAAGUCAGUGGACUUUGAGUAAAGCAGAUGACCCUCCCUAAUAUGGGUGGGCCUCAUCCAAUCAGUUGAAGGCCUUAAGAGAACAAGGAUUGACCUCCCCCAAGCAAGAAGAAAUUCUGUCAGCAGACUGCCUUUGGACUCAAACUGCAACUCUUCCUUGGGUCUCUAGACUGCUAUCCUACGCUGAAGAUUUCGGAUCUGAGCCUCCACAACCAUGUCCCCCCAAAUAUUUCGAGGUUCCUUGCACCUGCCAGAUAAGCGAGCUUCCUUACUUAGCAGAUGAAGGUCAUGGAGGUUUGCCCAUACCAGUGGGAAAUGUGGAGCUGGGACCCAAGGACAUCUUCUCAGCCAGCCACCGUGCAUGUGACUUCCCUGGUUGAUCCAGCCAACUGCAGGACCAAGAUAUUUCUAGUGCAAGAUAGGAGAGAUGAGUAAUAGAGACCACAGCCCUUGGAAACCUUGAUCAAGUAGAAUAAGAACACCUUCCUCAGCUCUCUUUGCAAGUGGCCAAAGCUUAGUGGCUCUGGGAGAAAAAUUCAACAGGAAAACCUACAGAAGUGCCUUGAGAAAGGACCACAGUAGCCUCUUCUAAGCCAAAUUGAGUAAAUAAAAAUGAGUGCUAUUAAAAUAUCCAAUUAAUCUAAACACAAA